CUCUGACCUAGGUCAGGUUUUCGUUUUAAUACAGCAAGCAAAAUGGGCCAUAAAACAAUUGGGCCGAAAAACAUAAAGUUGUGCUGAAAUUAAAUUCGUCUGGAACAUAGAUGCAAUUAUUUGACCCACUUGCGCUCCGAACUGGGUUUUGGCCUCAACAUUAAAGAUGUAGCUCUUGAUCUCGGCUUUCCAACGCAUCUUCUCGCGCCUCAAUCCGAUAUUUGUAACUCCAGUUAUGACCUGCGGACCGGAAGGGUGUCAAAGUGCUAUUUAUUCAUAAAUUAAGUGCGAAAAUAAAAUAGAGUUAGAAAUAAACUUAAAUAUAAAAACACCUUAAAAUAGUGAAAAUAGUAAAUUAAACCAUAGGAAUACACUAGUACAAUAGUAGAAGAAUGUGCAUUAAAAUGCACUGAUCAAUCAACAUACAUAAUAUAAUAAAAUGAUAUGGUUAUGGCCCCUAGCGUGAUUGUUCCCUCAAGCCAAUGAGAGAACCUAUGCUAUGUCUAAGAACGACCUAUACUUCACCAAGAUAGAUCUUCAUUGCUGUCCUUCCUGUCCUAUUUGCUAAUCUUAUAUUACAUCACUACAAGAAACUCGUGUUCAUACGAGGGAGUGAG
rnacentral:lncRNA from 1 species